rnacentral:rRNA from 1 species
UACGUAGGGUGCGAGCGUUAAUCGGAAUUACUGGGCGUAAAGCGUGCGCAGGCGGUUCGUUGUGUCGGCGGUGAAAGCCCCGGGCUUAACCUGGGAACGGCCGUUGAAACUGGCGAACUGGAGUGUGGCAGAGGGGGGUGGAAUUCCGCGUGUAGCAGUGAAAUGCGUAGAGAUGCGGAGGAACACCGAUGGCGAAGGCAGCCCCCUGGGCUAACACUGACGCUCAGGCACGAAAGCGUGGGGAGCGAACAGG